GGACUACUGGGGUUUCUAAUCCCGUUCGCUACCCUAGCUUUCGUGCCUCAGCGUCAGAAGAGAUCCAGUGAGCCGCUUUCGCCACCGGUGUUCCUUAGGAUAUCAACGCAUUUCACCGCUCCACCCUAAGUUCCGCUCACCUCUAUCUCCCUCGAGCACGGUAGUUUAGAGCGCAGUUCCUCGGUUAAGCCGAGGGAUUUCACACCCUACUUUCCGCGCAGCCUACGCACCCUUUAAGCCCAGUGAUUCCGAAUAACGUUCGGACGGUUCGUCUUACCGCGGCUGCUGGCAC
rnacentral:rRNA from 3 species